AACAUCGCGCACCUGCGGGAACCUGCGGAAGGAUCAUUACAGAGUUGCAAAACUCCCUAAACCAUUGUGAACGUUACCUAAACCGUUGCUUCGGCGGGCGGCCCGGGUCCUUCCCGGCGCCCAUCGGCCCUCGCGGGCGCCCGCCGGAGGUAAACCAAACUAUUGCAUUGUAUGGCCUCCCUGAGUCUUCUGUACUGAAUAAGUCAAAACUUUCAACAACGGAUCUCAGAUCGGAAGAGC
rnacentral:misc_RNA from 1 species